UCUCCUCUUGCAGUAGAAAGAUCAAGAAAUGAACCUCUGACUAAGGCCAAGAAUUGUCCCUCUCCAUUUGGGCAUUUUUUUUUUCAGGCAUCUAUCUCGAGUAUAGAAACUUUAUAUUGCAACUAUAUUUUCCUUUUGGCACUGUUUUGAUAAACCUUGGUUAAUGAGCUUGAAGAAUUUUUUGAUAUGUUGGGUGUGAGUUUUGUUUAAUAUUUACAUGGAAUUAAUGUUUUGUCAUUGUGCUUGAAAUAAAAUUUGAAAGAGCUUUGCUUCUUUUUUGGUACCCAUUGUGAGAUGCUUUUUUCUUUCCUAAUCUUUUUCGGAUUAAAGGCAUGAAGCUAUAGUUUCUUUCUUUUUAUCUCUUUUACCAUUAUAUGGUAAUCUCUCUGGUAAGUUGACUAAAAAAAUAAAUGAAAAUUGUAGAACAAAACUAUCCCAUGACUAUUUUAAUUUGACUUGAAGGUUGCAGCGAGUCAUUUGUUAAGUGCUUCUGACCUUCAUCUGUUUUCAUGUCUCCAAGUUGUGACAUUGGAGCCAACUUUUGUUAAGAUAUUUCUGUGGCUUUGCUGAAAACAAUACUGCAGAAGCCCUCUAUUCAGGUCAAAAAUAAUCUAUUUUUGUUCAUUGUAAACACGCUGGAAAGUGAAAUUGCCUAAUUUGUAGUGGUUUCUACUCUCUACUUUUGUUGUUGAGUUGUCUUCUAUUUGGUGUAUGGACUUUUGAGAAAGAAGUUCGGUGUUUUGAGUGAUAACUGAGAUUGUUCAUUCCUUUCUCAUGCAGAUGCCGUGAAAAGCAGAGGAAGGAAGCUUCACGUCUCCAUACAGUGAAUAGGAAGCUGACUGCCAUGAACAAGCUGUUGAUGGAAGAGAACGAUCGGUUACAGAAGCAGGUCUCACAGUUGGUUUAUGAGAAUGGAUACAUGCGUCAACAACUGCAGAAUGCUUCAGCAACGACCACAGACAAUAGCUGUGAGUCUGUGGUCAUGAGUGGUCAGCAGCAACAACAGCAAAACCCAACACCUCAGCAUCCCCAGCGGGAUGCUAACAACCCAGCUGGUCUUCUCGCAAUAGCAGAGGAAACCCUGGCAGAGUUCCUUUCUAAGGCUACUGGAACUGCUGUCGACUGGGUCCAGAUGAUUGGGAUGAAGCCUGGUCCGGAUUCUAUUGGCAUUGUUGCUGUUUCCCGCAAUUGUAGUGGGGUUGCAGCACGAGCCUGCGGCCUUGUGAGUCUAGAGCCCACAAAGGUUGCUGAAAUCCUCAAAGAUCGUCCAUCUUGGUUUCGUGACUGUCGAUGCCUGGAUAUAUUGAGUGUAAUUCCCACAGGAAAUGGGGGCAAAAUUGAGCUCAUAUACAUGCAGACUUAUGCACCAACAACAUUGGCUGCAGCACGUGACUUUUGGACGCUGAGAUACACUACAACUUUGGAAGAUGGCAGUCUCGCGGUUUGUGAGAGGUCAUUAACUACUAACACUGGUGGUCCAGCUGGACCACCUGCUUCGAGCUUUGUAAGAGCUGAAAUGCUUCCUAGUGGCUAUCUAAUUCGACCUUGUGAGGGUGGUGGCUCCAUCAUUCACAUUGUGGACCAUGUUGAUUUAGAUGCUUGGAGCGUUCCUGAAGUUCUGAGGCCCCUAUAUGAAUCAUCCAAAAUUCUUGCUCAGAAAAUGACCUUGGCUGCCUUACGGUACAUACGGCAAAUUUCACUAGAGACUAGUGGAGAAAUUCAGUAUGGUGGUGGUCGACAGCCUACUGUUUUAAGAACAUUUAGUCAGAGACUCUGUAGGGGUUUCAAUGAUGCUGUCAAUGGAUUUGCAGAUGAUGGUUGGUCACUUCUCGGUGGUGAUGGUGUGGAGGAUGUGACCAUUGUCAUAAAUUCAUCUCCAAAUAAAUUUCUAGGGUCUCAAUAUAAUGCUUCAGUGUUCCCAACUUUUGGAGGAGGGGUGCUGUGUGCAAAGGCAUCAAUGUUGCUGCAGAAUGUCCCCCCUGCUCUGCUUGUUCAGUUUCUGAGGGAACAUCGUUCAGAGUGGGCUGACUAUGGGGUUGAUACCUAUUCUUCGGCAUGUCUCAAAGCUAGUCCUUAUGCAAUUCCUUGCGCAAGACCUGGGGGUUUCCCCAGUGGCCAGGUCAUUUUACCUCUUGCCCAUACUGUGGAGCAUGAGGAGUUCUUGGAGGUAGUUCGGCUGGAGGGCCAUGCCUUUUCCCCUGAAGAUGUAGCUUUGGCACGGGAUAUGUACCUGUUACAGCUUUGCGGUGGAGUUGAUGAAAAAGCUGUUGGUGCCUGUGCCCAGCUUGUCUUUGCACCUAUUGAUGAAUCCUUUGCUGAUGAUGCUCCUCUGUUGCCAUCUGGUUUCCGUGUCAUACCAUUAGAUCCUAAAGCAGAUGGGCCUGCUCCAACUCGCACAUUAGAUUUGGCCUCUACGCUUGAAGUAGGUGCUGGUUGUGCACGCCCAUCUACUGAGGCUGAUACCAACAAUUAUAACCUUAGGUCAGUCCUGACAAUUGCAUUCCAAUUUACUUUUGACAACCACUUGCGAGACAAUGUGGCUGCUAUGGCUCGCCAGUACGUGCGUAGUGUUGUGGGGUCUGUUCAAAGGGUUGCAAUGGCUAUUUCCCCUUCACGGCUCAGCUCCCAUAUUGGGCCAAAGUCCCUUCCUGGCUCUCCUGAGGCUCUUACUUUGGCACGAUGGAUUUACCGAAGCUACAGGUAUGACAAUAUUGUUCCCCUGAAACAUUUUAAUUUUUCCUUAGUUUAAUUUAGGGGGCAAAAACAAAAAUAGAUAUGCACUUUGCUUAGUUUUAGUUUAGCUUUCUUUAGUUUGAAAGGUGGUUUAAUAACUAAACGAGCACUAGUGAUGAGUCAUUUAUAAUUUGAGUAAUGACCGUUGAUGUUGCUAUGAAUUGUUGUAAGGAAUUUGAUCAUUUCUAAGGGAAAACUUAAGAUUCAGGGAAAAGGCAUUGUGUCCCAAAACCGAGUAUUGUGUGUUGCAGGAUCCACACCGGGGGAGAUCUCAUUCGGGUUGAAUCCCAAGCUGGUGAUGCUUUGUUGAAGCAACUUUGGCACCAUUCAGAUGCAAUUAUGUGCUGUUCCUUGAAAACCAAUGCAUCUCCAGUCUUCACUUUUGCAAACCAGGCUGGUCUCAACAUGCUUGAAACAACUCUCGUAGCCCUUCAAGAUAUUAUGCUUGACAAGAUUCUCGAUGAAGCAGGCCGGAAGAUUCUCUGCUCAGAGUUCUCUAAGAUCAUGCAACAGGUAAAAAUUUUCAACAUCCAGUCAUCAACAUCUUUAAUUAGAUUCUUAAGUGGAUCCGGAAUUGACUCAACCUGACUUUUGUACAUCUGGAAACCAAGUUAAGGUUCUUUUGUUUACACACCAGUUAGAUCCUGAAUCCAGACUAAAAUUAUUUAUUUACAUGUAGCUUUUGUUCUUUCUUUCAUUUUGGCAAUCAUUUCUGCUUUUGUCAUGAAUGUCAAAUCUUCAAAGUUGCAUGGCUAGGUUUGCAGGGAAGUGGCAUUGACAUUUUGCUAUUAUGAAUUCAGGGAUUUGCAUAUCUACCAGCUGGAGUAUGUGUGUCCAGCAUGGGGAGGCCAGUCUCCUAUGACCAAGCCAUCGCAUGGAAAGUACUCAAUGAUGAUGAUUCCAACCACUGCCUUGCCUUCAUGUUCAUGAACUGGUCUUUUGUGUGAUUAUUAAGAAAAAUACCUAGAGAACUUAACUAUCUAUUUAAGUUAUAUGUUUCCUUCUAUUUAGUACCUAUGAAACUAUGACAUUUGAAUGUAGUAUUGACUGGAUAUCAUGAAUGAAUUUGUCUUUAUGUGCAUGGUGAUGUAUUUGCAUGAUGGGUGUGGUUCCACUCUCCAUCUCUACCCAUCAAAGUGUCUUUUGGUGAGACUGGUGAAAUCUCAAUAAAAAAUGGAAGAUUGGUGAUUGUAGGUGGUAGAAGAGGGACCCACCCGUUAUGGUUGUUGGCUUUGUUUUAUUUAACUAGCUCAUCGACUCUUUACUGCUGGAUGAUUGAUUUCUUAAUGGGUCGUAUUCACAUCCCCAAUAAUGUAUGGUAAUAUUCUUGAUAGGUUAUCAUGGUGUUUUU
rnacentral:misc_RNA from 1 species